rnacentral:rRNA from 1 species
ACGAACGCUGGCGGCGUGCUUAACACAUGCAAGUCGAACGGAAAGGCCCUGCUUGCAGGGUACUCGAGUGGCGAACGGGUGAGUAACACGUGGGUGAUCUGCCCUGCACUUCGGGAUAAGCCUGGGAAACUGGGUCUAAUACCGGAUAGGAGCCAUUUUUAGCGUGAUGGUUGGAAAGUUUUUUCGGUGUAGGAUGAGCUCGCGGCCUAUCAGCUUGUUGGUGGGGUAAUGGCCUACCAAGGCGGCGACGGGUAGCCGGCCUGAGAGGGUGGACGGCCACAGUGGGACUGAGAUACGGCCCAGACUCCGACGGGAGGCAGAAGUGGGGAAUAUUGCACAAUGGGCGCAAGCCUGAUGCAGCGACGCCGCGUGGGGGAUGACGGCCUUCGGGUUGUAAACUCCUUUCGCUAGGGACGAAGCUUUUUGUGACGGUACCUAGAUAAGAAGCACCGGCUAACUACGUG